GAGUUAUAAAGGAAGUUCUGUUCAAAAAUUGUGAGCACCAUUACAAGGGUUGGUUAGUCCCAAUGUUUGAUCCAGGAGUUGUCUUGUCUUCUGGGUUGGAUUCAAAAUUUACAAGAAAACGCAGUAAAGCAUUGAUGGUUGUAAAUCUGAAACUGGGUUGACUUCUCAAUGCUUAGUUAUAAAAUAAAAUAUGAAGUUGUACUAAAGAUAAAUGUGUUGAGUUCAUACUAUCUUUAUUGGGAGAAGAGGAUUGUACCAUUCUUUUACUCAAUGCUGUACAAAUCUCAGAAUCCCUUUAACACUAAAUUUUUCAGCUACAGAUUCAUUGGAGAUCAUGGCUUUUCUUUGAUCUUGGCAUUGAAUAUGAAUGUCCUCAUAUUUUUGAAAUCCAUACAAUUUUCUAACCAUUUUAAUGAAAGCAAUAUUAAAAAAAAUAUGUUAAGUUAUAUUAUUCAGAAGGUGUAGAAGUAAUUAUAGUAAAACAUUGUUUGCACACAUUUUUAAGAAUUACUAUAAAAUAACAGAAAUUGAUUAUAUGAUGACCUCAUAGGUUAAAAAGUGAUUAAUCCAUUUUGCUCAAGUAAUGUUCUGCAAUUUCUAAACAAUUAAGUUUUCCUUGCAGAAAUAUGUUGCAAUAAAUAUAUAUCUUAGGAAAAUAUAAAUCUGCUUUACCUCUAAACUAUUAUUACUUUUUACAACAGGGUCCACACAUAAUCAGUUUGUAGCAAAAUAAUAAAUAUCUCUUAUUAAUUUCCAGACUUAAUCUGAAACAGAAGCAACUGUGUCAUUUGAAGCUUCUAAAUUAUGUUGACAGGCUAACUACUUAUAAGUGAUUUAGAUAUGGUUUUUUAUCAGUGGCAUGAACAAAAACUUAGAGAGCCUGACUGGUGUGAAAAUGAAUUUGACAAGAAAACAGUGAAAAGAAACGAAGGUUAUCCACAAGAUAGCCAGAUCUAUCACAGAUGGAGAUUCGUGGUGUUCGAUUGAUGUCAGAUGAAGAAAAUGAAGGGUUGAUGUACAACAGGCUGUAGUGCUUAGCCGGAGCAAUUUCAAGAAGAUUUGUUCCUGACACUGCUGCGCCUACUCCAUCACUUACAGCUAAAGAAUGGCUGAAUG